AAUUGAAGAGUUUGAUCAUGGCUCAGAUUGAACGCUGGCGGCAGGCUAACACAUGCAAGUCGAACGGUAACAGAGAGCAGCUUGCUCUCUGCUGACGAGUGGCGGACGGGUGAGUAAUGUCUGGGAAACUGCCUGAUGGAGGGGGAUAACUACUGGAAACGGUAGCUAAUACCGCAUAACGUCUACGGACCAAAGUGGGGGACCUUCGGGCCUCAUGCCAUCAGAUGUGCCCAGAUGGGAUUAGCUAGUAGGUGGGGUAACGGCUCACCUAGGCGACGAUCCCUAGCUGGUCUGAGAGGAUGACCAGCCACACUGGAACUGAGACACGGUCCAGACUCCUACGGGAGGCAGCAGUGGGGAAUAUUGCACAAUGGGCGCAAGCCUGAUGCAGCCAUGCCGCGUGUAUGAAGAAGGCCUUCGGGUUGUAAAGUACUUUCAGCGGGGAGGAAGGCGUUGUGGUUAAUAACCACAGCGAUUGACGUUACCCGCAGAAGAAGCACCGGCUAACUCCGUGCCAGCAGCCGCGGUAAUACGGAGGGUGCAAGCGUUAAUCGGAAUUACUGGGCGUAAAGCGCACGCAGGCGGUUGAUUAAGUCAGAUGUGAAAUCCCCGGGCUCAACCUGGGAACUGCAUUUGAAACUGGUCAGCUUGAGUCUCGUAGAGGGGGGUAGAAUUCCAGGUGUAGCGGUGAAAUGCGUAGAGAUCUGGAGGAAUACCGGUGGCGAAGGCGGCCCCCUGGACGAAGACUGACGCUCAGGUGCGAAAGCGUGGGGAGCAAACAGGAUUAGAUACCCUGGUAGUCCACGCCGUAAACGAUGUCGACUUGGAGGUUGUGCCCUUGAGGCGUGGCUUCCGGAGCUAACGCGUUAAGUCGACCGCCUGGGGAGUACGGCCGCAAGGUUAAAACUCAAAUGAAUUGACGGGGGCCCGCACAAGCGGUGGAGCAUGUGGUUUAAUUCGAUGCAACGCGAAGAACCUUACCUGGUCUUGACAUCCAGAGAAUCCUGCAGAGAUGCGGGAGUGCCUUCGGGAACUCUGAGACAGGUGCUGCAUGGCUGUCGUCAGCUCGUGUUGUGAAAUGUUGGGGUUAAGUCCCGCACGAGCGCAAACCCUUAUCCUUUGUUGCCAGCGGUCCGGCCGGGAACUCAAAGGAGACUGCCGGUGAUAAACCGGAGGAAGGUGGGGAUGACGUCAAGUCAUCAUGGCCCUUACGACCAGGGCUACACACGUGCUACAAUGGCGCAUACAAAGAGAAGCGACCUCGCGAGAGCAAGCGGACCUCAUAAAGUGCGUCGUAGUCCGGAUUGGAGUCUGCAACUCGACUCCAUGAAGUCGGAAUCGCUAGUAAUCGUGGAUCAGAAUGCCACGGUGAAUACGUUCCCGGGCCUUGUACACACCGCCCGUCACACCAUGGGAGUGGGUUGCAAAAGAAGUAGGUAGCUUAACCUUCGGGAGGGCGCUUACCACUUUGUGAUUCAUGACUGGGGUGAAGUCGUAACAAGGUAACCGUAGGGGAACCUGCGGUUGGAUCACCUCCUUACCUGAAAGA
rnacentral:rRNA from 1 species